GGAGUGGAGCUAGUCGGAUAUCAUCAUUGUAUCAACAUAGUGCUGGAGUAGAUUUGUAAGCAAUGGAAGUAUCAUGUAUGAUAUACGACUGGAGAGCUGGAGCAGAUGAUGAGAGAACUGUACUAUAUGGAUUUGGGAAUGCAAUACAAGUUAUAGAUCAAAUAGAUGUUCUAAGGCCACUAAUAAUGUGUAUGGAUAUAGAAGUAUACUCAUCUAAUGCAAG
rnacentral:lncRNA from 1 species